GACGAACGCUGGCGGCGUGCUUAACACAUGCAAGUCGAACGCGCCUGUCCUCUGGGUUUCUGGGGGGUGGGUGAGUGGCGAACGGGUGAGUAACACGUGAGUAACCUGCCCCCUUCUUCGGGAUAACGGUCUGAAAGGGCUGCUAAUACCGGGUAUUCACUGGUCUCCGCAUGGGGUCUGGUGGAAAGGUUUUUUUCUGGUGGGGGAUGGGCUCGCGGCCUAUCAGCUUGUUGGUGGGGUGAUGGCCCACCAAGGCUUUGACGGGUAGCCGGCCUGAGAGGGUGACCGGUCACAUUGGGACUGAGAUACGGCCCAGACUCCUACGGGAGGAAGCAGUGGGGAAUAUUGCACAAUGGGCGCAAGCCUGAUGCAGCGACGCCGCGUGAGGGAUGGAGGCCUUCGGGUUGUGAACCUCUUUCGCCCGUGGUCAAGCCGCGACGUGGGUCGUGGUGAGGGUAGUGGGUAAAGAAGCGCCGGCUAACUACGUG
rnacentral:rRNA from 1 species